UACGUAGGGGGCGUAGCGUUUGUCCGGAAUCAUUGGGCGUAAAAGCGCGCGUAGGCGGCCCAGUAAGUCCGUUGUAAAAAGUCAAAGGCUCAACCUUUGAAAGCCGAUGGAUACUGCUGGGCUAGAGUCCGGAAGAGGCGAGUGGAAUUCCUGGUGUAGCGGUGGAAUGCGCAGAUAUCAGGAGGAACACCGAUAGCGAAGGAGCUCGCUGGGACGGUACUGACGCUGAGGCGCGAAAGCGUGGGGAUCAAACAGG
rnacentral:rRNA from 1 species